rnacentral:rRNA from 1 species
CACUGGAACUGAGACACGGUCCAGACUCCUACGGGAGGCAGCAGUAGGGAAUCUUCCGCAAUGGGCGAAAGCCUGACGGAGCAACGCCGCGUGAGUGAUGAAGGUCUUCGGAUCGUAAAACUCUGUUGUUAGGGAAGAACAAAUUUGUUAGUAACUGAACAAGUCUUGACGGUACCUAACCAGAAAGCCACGGCUAACUACGUGCCAGCAGCCGCGGUAAUACGUAGGUGGCAAGCGUUAUCCGGAAUUAUUGGGCGUAAAGCGCGCGUAGGCGGUUUCUUAAGUCUGAUGUGAAAGCCCACGGCUCAACCGUGGAGGGUCAUUGGAAACUGGGAAACUUGAGUGCAGAAGAGGAGAGUGGAAUUCCAUGUGUAGCGGUGAAAUGCGCAGAGAUAUGGAGGAACACCAGUGGCGAAGGCGGCUCUCUGGUCUGUAACUGACGCUGAUGUGCGAAAGCGUGGGGAUCAAACAGGAUUAGAUACCCUGGUAGUCCACGCCGUAAACGAUGAGUGCUAAGUGUUAGGGGGUUUCCGCCCCUUAGUGCUGCAGCU